UUUCUCUCUCUCUCUCUCUCUGUCUAAAUUUUGCUCACAAAAGGGUCUCUCCUUCCCUUGUUGUACUAAACUUCUAGCUUCACUACUCCAUAUAUCCCUCUAACCGCCACCCACCUCUUUCUCUCGAUACUCAAAAGCAAGAUUAUUAAACCUUUUUACCCAAAACAAGAACAACCCAACAACAGUUUCUUGAUUUUCUUCUGUGUCAAACACAAAGGUCGAACAUGUCUGGACCUUCUGCUUCUGCUACUACUACUACUCUUUGGUUGGCCUCUUACACGAAACUUCAUUUCUUUACUCGUGUCAGGCGUUUCUUGCAAUCCAAAGCUGCACAGAAGAAUAAGCCAAGAACCAAAGUGAUGAUCGUUAAUAAAGAAGUACAAAUAAAAGUAACUAUGGAUGGAGAAACUGAAGAUGAUUCUUUGUUAUUACAAAGAUCAGUGAAGAAACUUCACUUUGGAAGCUGGGAAGAGAAGGAGAUGGCAGCUAAGGAAAUUGGGAAAUUAGCUAAAGAAAAAGUCAAGACAAGAAAGUUGAUGGCUGAACUCGGUGUUAUUCCGGCCUUAGUAGAGUUGGUGGCUUCGGAGGUGACUGCUCGCCGGCAAGUAGCCGUCAAGGCUUUGAUUGAGCUUGCUAAUGGAACUUACACGUAAGUUUUGGUUGUAGAAUUUAUUAGUUAAUUACAAGAUAUUCUUCAAAGUUAUUUUCUUCUUUAUUUAUUUUGCUUCCAGAUUCACAUUGGCAUGCAUAUUAGUAAGUGAAAAAGUGUCAAUUAGAAUUGUCAAUAUGUUAAUGGGGAUUUUUUAAUUUUUCAAGGAAAAGAACGCCAAAGUCAGGUUGGAGAUAUUUAUUGAAUUAAUAGGAUGGUUUUUCAACCAAGUUUGAAAUUGUGGAGUUUGAUUUUUGGCACUUUCUGGUUUUUGAUGUGUCACUCAACUAACAAUAAAUUUGUUAGAGUAGGCAAAUAGAGAAACAGGAUAAAGCUUAAAAUCAAAUCUAUUCACGAGCAAGUUGAUUGAGUUCAAGAAAAUGAGUUUUCUUUUUUGCCAUUAAGAAGUUGGAUAUCACUUUGUUAGUAUUUAGUCCUUAAAAAACUUUUCCCCCAACUUUAUUUGGAAAGCAUUAAGAACUGAUUUGGGUGGAGCCGUUACGGGCAUUGGCACCAUGUGACCUUUAAGGAAUAAAGAGGGGCAAGGUAGUCAGAAGUCACAUGGUAGUUGGUGUUACAGGAUUCUGGAGUCUGGGACCAGAUUCCCACCUAUUUUUCUCACCUAUUGUGAUGCAUUGAUGACUUUCUGCUACAAGCAGUAGGACAUGUACUAUAGUCAGAACAAAAGCUUCUAGCUGUGGGGUAAUUUUAUUGGUUUCCAAUUUGUUUAUUCUCAUUUGAAUGGCUAUCAUUCUACAAGUGGGGCUUAUGCCUUCUCCGUCAGGAACCUGCUGCGGUGUCAGAUUUUUUUUGGCAUUCAUGAUUGUUUCCUUGUCAUGCAAUUGAUUCUCCAUCUUAUAUCAAGAAAACAGCAUAGAAAAAUCACAAUUCUUUAAUUAUUACCGCCAUAAUCUACCUAUUUCAUUAAAAUCAUGUGAAACUAAUUAAGAAUAAUGCCCAUGGAUUAGGAGACCACAAGGAGUGCUUAAUUACUCUCCUCUAAGUUUUAUGGUGUAGGGAAGCUUGGAUGGGACAAUGAUGUUAAUGAAUCGACAUUGUUGUCUUUAAAUAAGAUAAAUUAAUCACAAGUUAUAAGAUUUUAAUAUAAUUUAUCAGAUUCCCUAUGAUCUCUCAGCAAUAAACAAAUUCAUUCUCUUGACCUUCACCUUUCAACAUAGAUCUAAAUGUUGGAAUCUCAUUGACUUUCUUUGCCAUAUAAUUUUAUUGUUUAAUAGUUUGGUUCGUUGGUUGGUUAGUUUGGUGUGCAUAAUGCUUUUUAUAAUUUGAUGGGUAGACCUAAGAAGAACUGGCAAGGAACUUUCUGGUUUUCGUAGCUGCCAUUAGUUUUAUAAGUUAUAAUUGACUUCGAUUAUGGAUUAAUUAUCAAGUUAGAUAGAUGUUGAGAUAUGUUAUGCUUCUCUCGUUAAUUUUAUUAAUCUGUGUUGGGUUUUUCUUCAGGAACAAGGCUCUCAUGGUGGAAGCAGGAAUAUUCUCAAAACUGCCCAAGAACGAAGAUGUUUCAGAGGAUUUAAUAAUGCAUGAUUUUGCAGAAUUGAUCUUAUCAUUAUCUUCUUUGGCAAAUACCCAAUUCCAUCUUGCCUCAUCGGAAGUUUUGCCAUUUCUAGUUGGAAUUCUUGAAUCAAGCUCAAGUGUAGAGAACAAAGAGUCAUGUUUAGGCACUUUAUACAACCUCUCAGCUGUGUUGGAAAAUGCAGGACCCCUGAUCUCUAAUGGGGUAGUUCAAACUCUCCUGGGCAUAAUAUCAGUAAAAGAACUCUCAGAAAAAGCCCUUGCAACUCUAGGGCAUUUAGUUGUGACCUUAAUGGGAAAGAAAGCAAUGGAAAAUAAUUCAAUGGUGCCAGAGAACUUGAUAGAGAUAUUGACAUGGGAGGAAAAACCCAAAUGCCAAGAAUUAUCUGUUUAUAUUCUGAUGAUUCUAGCUUACCAGAGUUCAUCCCAGCGCGAAAAAAUGGCUAAAUCUGGAAUUGUCCCUGUACUUCUUGAAGUUGCACUGCUGGGAAGUCCUUUAGCUCAAAAGAGAGCCCUUAAACUUCUGCAAUGGUUCAAAGAUGAGAGGCAAGCAAGGAUGGGGCCACAUUCUGGGCCUCAAACAGGAAGGUUAGCAAUUGGUUCUCCUAUAAAUCCAAGAGAGACUCAAGAAGGAAAGAAAAUGAUGAAAAAUUUGGUGAAGCAAAGUUUGCAUAAGAAUAUGGAGAUGAUUACAAGGAGAGCCAAUGCUUCAGGGGAGUCUUCAAAGCUCAAAUCCUUGGUUAUCAGCACAAGUUCUAAGAGCCUGCCUUAUUAAAGAUUUUAUACACAGUUGAGCAAUUUUCAAGCUUUUCUUUUAGGAAUGAAUUUUUUUCAGCAAUGGCAUGCAUGUGGGUAUUUGUUGAUUACAGGGAGUGUAGUUGUUCACUUGUUCUUGUAGGAAAGAAUUGAACUCCUUGUUGAGAGCCAGAGUUGAAUGCAUUUCUUGUGCAGAAGCAGAAUAGCUAAUGACAAUUGUACAUGUUGACCAAUAAAAAAUUCUAUAAUUUCCUAUUUUGUAUGGUUUGAAAAAUCCAACCCAUGUUGAAU
rnacentral:misc_RNA from 1 species